rnacentral:rRNA from 1 species
GAAUAUAAAUUAUUAUUAAUUUUAUUCAUUAUUUAUUUAUAUAAAGAAAGUAAUUUUUUUUUAUUAUUAUUUUUGAAAAAAUUUUUUUAAUUAUAGUUUAUUAGUAUUGUAAAAGAAAUUAUUAAUAUAAAUAAAAGAAAAAUUUAAUUUUUGUACCUUGUGUAUCAGGGUUAAUUUAAUUUAGUUUUUAAAUAAAAAUCUCUCGAAUUUAAAAGAGUUAAUUAUUUAUAAAUUUAAUUGUAAAAUAAAUUUUUAUAAUAAAUAAUUUGUAAUGAAACGUUAUUCGUUUUUAAAUAUAUCUAGUUUUUAAAGAAAAAAAUUUAAUUUUAUUAUUAAUAUUUAAAGAUUUAAUUUUUUAAUUUUUUAUUUAUUAAUAUUAAAUUUUAUUAGGGAUAAGCUUAAUAAAAAAAAAUUAUAAUUAAUUUUAAUAGUAAAUAAUUUAUAAAAUUAGAAUUUUUUAUAUAUAAGAAAAUGUUAUAAUUAAUUAUAUUUAUUUUUUAUUUUUAUUUAAUUUAAUUUUUUUAUUUAAAUUUAAAUUUUAAUUAAGAAAAUUUAGUAAUUAUGAUUAAAUUAGUAUAUAUUUAAUGUAAUUAUAUUUAUAAUAAUUAAGGUUAAUUUAAGGAAUUCGGCAAAUUUAUUUUUCACCUGUUUAUUAAAAACAUGUCUUUUUGAUUAUAAUUUAAAGUCUAAUCUGCCCACUGAUAAAUUAAAUGGCCGCGGUAUUUUGACCGUGCAAAGGUAGCAUAAUAAUUAGUUUUUUAAUUGGAAGCUGGAAUGAAUGAUUGAAUGAGAAAAUAACUGUCUCAAAUUAAUUAUUUAGAAUUUUAUAUUUAAGUUAAAAAGCUUAAAUUUUAUUAAAAGACGAGAAGACCCUAUAGAGUUUUAUAAAUAAUUUUAUUUGAAUUUUUAGUUUUAAAUAUUUAAAUUUUAUUUAUUUAUUUUGUU